GGAGAGGUGGUGUUGAGAAAGUCUUGCAGCAAAUAAGAAAACAUCUUGAACCCCCCACACACCAAUACACGCCACCCUUUUCAAUUUUGUCGCACAAAAACCUCCCAACCUCUUACCAUAUGGGAUAGGAUAUUCUUUCUAAUCUGAAUCAAAUUCAAAUAGAAAAGAUUGUCUUAAAAGAAAAGAGAGAUCUAGAGAGGUGGAAAGAGUGUCUAAAAAGGAAAGAGAG
rnacentral:lncRNA from 1 species